rnacentral:lncRNA from 1 species
UUUAUCAUUUUUUAUUGCGUCUAUUUGAUUCUUCUCUCUUUUUUUCUUUAUUAGUCUUGCUAGCGGUCUAUCAAUUUUGUUGAUCCUUUCAAAAAACCAACUCCUGGAUUCAUGAAUUUUUUGAAGGGUUUUUUGUGUCUCUAUUUCCUUCAGUUCUGCUCUGAUUUUAGUUAUUUCUUGCCUUCUAGCUUUUGAAUGUGUUUGCUCUUGCUUUUCUAGUUCUUUUAAUUGUGAUGUUAGGGUGUCAAUUUUGGAUCUUUCCUGCUUUCUCUUGUGGGCAUUUAGUGCUAUAAAUUUCCCUCUACACACUGCUUUGAAUGCAUCCCAGAGAUUCUGGUAUGUUGUGUCUUUGUUCUCGUUGGUUUCAAAGAACAUCUUUAUUUCUGCCUUCGUUAUGUACCCAGUAGUCAUUCAGGAGCAGGUUGUUCAGUUUCCAUGUAGUUGAGCAGUUUUGAGUGAGUUUCUUAAUCCUGAGUUCUAAUUUGAUUGCACUGUGGUCUGAGAGAUAGUUUGUUAUAAUUUGUGUUCUUUUACAUUUGCUGAGGAGAGCUUUACUUCCAACUGUGUGGUCAAUUUUGGAAUAGGUGUGGUGUGGUGCUGAAAAAAAUGAAUAUUCUGUUGAUUUGGGGUGGAGAGUUCUGUAGAUGUCUAUUAGGUCCGCUUGGUGCAGAGCUGAAUUCAAUUCCUGGGUAUGCUUGUUGACUUUCUGUCUCGUUGAUCUGUCUAAUGUUGACAGUGGGGUGUUAAAGUCUCCCAUUAUUAAUGUGUGGGAGUCUAAGUCUCUUUGUAGGUCACUCAGGACUUGCUUUAUGAAUCUGGGUGCUCCUGUAUUGGGUGCAUGUAUAUUUAGGAUAGUUAGCUCUUCUUGUUGAAUUGAUCCCUUUACCAUUAUGUAAUGGCCUUCUUUGUCUUUUUUGAUUUAAAGUCUGUUUAAUCAGAGACUAGGAUUGCAACCCCUGCCUUUUUUUGUUUUCCAUUUGCUUAGUAGAUCUUCCUCCAUCCUUUUAUUUUGAGCCUAUGUGUGUCUCUGCAUGUGAGGUGGGUUUCCUGAAUACAACACACUGAUGGGUCUUGACUCUUUAUCCAAUUUGCCUUCAAAGUAAAGUUUCAAAGAAACCACCUGUUUUCUUUGUACUAAUAACUUUGUAUUAAUGUGGUUUUGGCCGAACGUUAGAAAAUGUUAUCAGGAAAUAUAUUAUGUACAGAAAGUAAUGUAAUGAAGCAUUAUGAACUUGGAAAUCUGGCACCAAAUGUAAGACACUGAACAGUUUGAGGACAGUUUAAGUCCCCCAACCCCACCAUGUUCUUCUCCCUUGAUCCUAUUCCUUCUCAGAAGUACCUUCUAUCCUGAAAACUUUGAAAUCGUUAAUUUUUUUCUACAGAUUUAUAUAUGUACACAAAAUUUUAUUACAGUGGUAUUCAACUCUAAUUUUUCUUUUCCCCCCACUCAACAUUGUUUCUAGAAUAUCAUCUAUAUUUAUAUAUAUAUAUAUAAUUAGCUGAUUUCCGCUACUUUAUUUCAGUAUAUGAAUAAACCAUUUUAUUUAUUCUCUUGUGGAAGGACAUUUGGAUUGCUUCUAGUUCUUGACUUUUAGUAAUGGUUCAAGAACAUUCUUCAGAUCCAUGGUUCAUGGUUUCUCUAGGAGUGGAAUUUGGGAUCAGGGAGUAUACCUGUCUUCAGGUUUACAAGAUAAUGUCAAACUGCUUUCCAAAGUGGUUUAUAAGAUUUCCUAUGGCUCCACCAUGCUUGCCAGCACUUGGUAUUGUCAGCUUUAUCAAUCUGAUGAUUUCAAAAUGGAAUCUAAUUCUGGUGAUAACUGGCAUUUUCCUAAUUACUAAUGAGGCUAAAUACAGGAGUGACUCAAACAAUUUAACAACUAGACAUAGCUAGUACAGUAGGACUCCGACUAAUCCAGGUAUUCUUUAACUUCUGGUGUGAGAAGGUAUGUAAUCUAAGAACCUCAUGUAGCCAGGGUGGCACUUGGGGGUCUCAAUGUAAUGACUUACCAAGCAGUGCAUAAUACUUAAAAAAAAAAAGUUAUAGCCAUAUCAGCUAACAAUGUUUAAGGACCAUUUACGUUUCUCCUUUUGUGCAAUGCUCAUUUCUCUCUUUUGCCACUUUUUCCACUAGAUUAUCUGUGUUGAUUCAUCAGUAUUCAUUAUAUGUCCUGGUACUACUAAUUGUUUAACAGUAUGUGUUGUAUGCCAUGUCCCAGUUUGUGUUUUUUCCUAAGCAGAAGUUCUUAAUGAAGUAGGAUUUAUUACACGUUCUCUCUAUAGAUAGUUUUUGUGUCUUACUUUUGAUAUCCAAUAGGGCAAGCCCCUCAUCCUGUUCUACUUUUGUGAGAGUGUCAUGGUUAUUCUUGGCUUAAUAUCAUCUUCCAUAUACAUUUUAGAAUUAGCUUGUUGGGUUAACGUGAAGAACUCUUGGGAUUUUGCUCAGAUACACAUUUAACCAAAGGAUCAACUUGGGAAAAAGAAGUAGCGUUUUAUGAUCCUGAAUCUUCCUAGCCAAGAACAUGGUUAUAGUUCCGUUUGUGCAGAUCUUUCUUACUGCCUUUUCCUAAAAUUUUAGCAAGUACUAUAGAGCAGUAUUUGCAAAUCUUUUGUUUGAUUAAUUGCUAACUUCUACAUUUUUUCUUGCUAUUUAAAAAUGUAUCCUUUUAUUUACAAAUUAUAUUUUAAACUCUGACUAGUGUCACAUGCUUUUUAAACAGUGAAGACCCAGC